CGAAAAGCAGCUCAACAAGGAAAUGAUUCACAGAGGUGAAAAGCCCCCAUUAAAAUGUGACAUUUGUUUCCUCAAAGCAGCUAGUUUUAAGAGGCGGAUAAACGCUUGCUACAAACGGCUCUGCUUUUGAAGCAAGGGGAACAGAGCACAUCCUGCUGUUACUCAAAGUUAUACAGUAUGCUUCGCUUAUCCAGUAUUCAAUAUGCACGAAAGGAAAAGAUGGUAUCUAAUGGGUUUCUUUUUGCUGUAAUUCAUCUAUCAGCAUUAGUCAGUGGUCACGUAUGCGUGGAACAGCUGCCAAGCAUUGUACAUCUCACAGAGGGAAAAAAUGUUACCAUCUCAUGUUACAUCCAUGCAGAUGAAGGAGAGAAAAUUUCUAAAUUCCUUGUGGAGUGGUUCAAGGAGGAGGCUGAGGGACAACUAAUCAAUGUUGGAAAACUUUCCAAGCUUAAAGGAAGGUUGCAUGAAAACACUAAUAGCAUUCAACACAGUGCAAGCCUUUCAUUUUACAUGCUCGAGCUAAAUGACACUGGCAGAUAUUUCUGCAAUUUUAUCUAUCGGAUUGAUCAUCAUAUACUGCAGCUACAUGCGAACGGCACAAGACUCAUCGUUCAAGAAGAGGUAACUGCAGACACGACUAUCGCCAGUACCACCGAAAAUACUCCUAAUAAUACUAGUGCUGAUACUGAGAAGGUCAUCACAGACAAUCUCCUUCUAACAUUUCUUCUUUCUCUUCCAUUAUUAUUAAAGUUUGUGGCAACUGUGUUCAUAUGCGUUUAUACUUUGUUUUCCUAUACAUCAAUUGUUAUUUCUUGCCGUUUUACAUAAAAAUCUUUUCAAAUGUC